UACGAAGGGUGCUAGCGUUGUUCGGAAUUACUGGGCGUAAAGGGCGCGUAGGCGGCUUGGCAAGUUGGAUGUGAAAGCCCAGGGCUCAACCCUGGAAUUGCAUUCAAGACUGCCUUGCUUGAAUUCGGUAGAGGUUGGUGGAAUUCCCAGUGUAGAGGUGAAAUUCGUAGAGAUUGGGAAGAACACCUGUGGCGAAGGCGGCCAACUGGACCGACAUUGACGCUGAGGCGCGAAAGCGUGGGGAGCAAACAGG
rnacentral:rRNA from 1 species